GACGUGUUUUAUUUAUGGUGUUCUCUUCACAGUGAAAAAUAAAGUUGUUGAACAACUAUCGAGAGCUGAAUAUGCUAGAUUAAGUGCAACCGAAAGAAAUGAAUAUUUGAAAAAACUACUUGGAGAACAUGACAGUGAUUCGAGCGGGGUUUCUGACAGUGAUGACGAAGACUGGAUUCCAGCAAAUAUAGCUAGACGUCAAAUUUUAAAUCAAAAAGCUAAUUCAGGGCAUGACGAAUCAGAAGAUUCUGAAGAUACAGGAGAAAUCGCUGAAGGGAAUUCAGCAGUAGAAGAAGAGGUUGAGGAAUAGCGAGAGUGAGGAUGAGAAUAGCGAGAGUGAGGAUGACGACAAUGAAGUAGAAACUGCUGAGCCUGAAGGACGAGCUCAAGAACCAUCUGGAAGUUUUAUUGCGAAAGAUAAGACAGUGUGGAACAAAACUCCACCAACUCAGCAUCAGACCGCAGCUCAUAAUGUUGUACGCCAGCGGAGUGGGCCUCAUCGCAGUACGGAAACGUUGUCAAUUAGUGAGACUUUCAAAAAAAUUUUUACUCACGAAAUGG